rnacentral:tRNA from 1 species
CCUGGUGGCUUAGAUGGUAAAGCACCUGCCCACAAUGCAGGAGACCCGGGUUCGAUCCUUGGGUCAGGA